GAUGAACGCUAGCUACAGGCUUAACACAUGCAAGUCGCGGGGCAGCAUGGGGGUUGCUUGCAAUCCCCGAUGGCGACCGGCGCACGGGUGAGUAACGCGUAUCCAACCUGCCCUUCACCACGGGAUAACCCGGCGAAAGUCGGACUAAUACCGUAUGUUGUCCAUUGACGGCAUCCGAUUUGGACGAAAGGGUUGGCGGUGAAGGAUGGGGAUGCGUCCGAUUAGCUGGACGGCGGGGUGACGGCCCACUGUGGCGACGAUCGGUAGGGGUUCUGAGAGGAAGGUCCCCCACACUGGAACUGAGACACGGUCCAGACUCCUACGGGAGGCAGCAGUGAGGAAUAUUGGUCAAUGGGCGUAAGCCUGAACCAGCCAAGUAGCGUGCAGGAUGACGGCCCUAUGGGUUGUAAACUGCUUUUAUGCGGGGAUAAAGUGGCCCACGUGUGGGUUUUUGCAGGUACCGCAUGAAUAAGGACCGGCUAAUUCCGUG
rnacentral:rRNA from 1 species